GAUAAACGCUGGCGGCGUGCCUAAUACAUGCAAGUCGAGCGAACGGACGAGAAGCUUGCUUCUCUGAUGUUAGCGGCGGACGGGUGAGUAACACGUGGAUAACCUACCUAUAAGACUGGGAUAACUUCGGGAAACCGGAGCUAAUACCGGAUAAUAUUUUGAACCGCAUGGUUCAAAAGUGAAAGACGGUCUUGCUGUCACUUAUAGAUGGAUCCGCGCUGCAUUAGCUAGUUGGUAAGGUAACGGCUUACCAAGGCAACGAUGCAUAGCCGACCUGAGAGGGUGAUCGGCCACACUGGAACUGAGACACGGUCCAGACUCCUACGGGAGGCAGCAGUAGGGAAUCUUCCGCAAUGGGCGAAAGCCUGACGGAGCAACGCCGCGUGAGUGAUGAAGGUCUUCGGAUCGUAAAACUCUGUUAUUAGGGAAGAACAUAUGUGUAAGUAACUGUGCACAUCUUGACGGUACCUAAUCAGAAAGCCACGGCUAACUACGUGCCAGCAGCCGCGGUAAUACGUAGGUGGCAAGCGUUAUCCGGAAUUAUUGGGCGUAAAGCGCGCGUAGGCGGUUUUUUAAGUCUGAUGUGAAAGCCCACGGCUCAACCGUGGAGGGUCAUUGGAAACUGGAAAACUUGAGUGCAGAAGAGGAAAGUGGAAUUCCAUGUGUAGCGGUGAAAUGCGCAGAGAUGUGGAGGAACACCAGUGGCGAAGGCGACUUUCUGGUCUGUAACUGACGCUGAUGUGCGAAAGCGUGGGGAUCAAACAGGAUUAGAUACCCUGGUAGUCCACGCCGUAAACGAUGAGUGCUAAGUGUUAGGGGGUUUCCGCCCCUUAGUGCUGCAGCUAACGCAUUAAGCACUCCGCCUGGGGAGUACGACCGCAAGGUUGAAACUCAAAGGAAUUGACGGGGACCCGCACAAGCGGUGGAGCAUGUGGUUUAAUUCGAAGCAACGCGAAGAACCUUACCAAAUCUUGACAUCCUUUGACAACUCUAGAGAUAGAGCCUUCCCCUUCGGGGGACAAAGUGACAGGUGGUGCAUGGUUGUCGUCAGCUCGUGUCGUGAGAUGUUGGGUUAAGUCCCGCAACGAGCGCAACCCUUAAGCUUAGUUGCCAUCAUUAAGUUGGGCACUCUAAGUUGACUGCCGGUGACAAACCGGAGGAGGGUGGGGAUGACGUCAAAUCAUCAUGCCCCUUAUGAUUUGGGCUACACACGUGCUACAAUGGACAAUACAAAGGGCAGCGAAACCGCGAGGUCAAGCAAAUCCCAUAAAGUUGUUCUCAGUUCGGAUUGUAGUCUGCAACUCGACUACAUGAAGCUGGAAUCGCUAGUAAUCGUAGAUCAGCAUGCUACGGUGAAUACGUUCCCGGGUCU
rnacentral:rRNA from 1 species